rnacentral:lncRNA from 1 species
GUAAGUUGGCAACACAAGGAAACAAAUUCGUCAAUGACAUCUACAAGAGUAAGAUUAAAGUAGAAUUUGAUAUGAUGUGAACUACAUGACCCUCAAAUUUAUUACUAUUAAACUUUAUUCAAAUAAAAUUCUAAAAUUAAUUAUGUUAAAAAUAUACAUAUAUAAUUAAAAAAAUAAAAUAAAACUAAAAUUCUAGAAAAAAAAUUGAAUUGAAAAAAAAAAAAUCUUAAAAAAAAUCUAGAUUCUAAAAGAAUAAAAAUUAAAAAAAAAUCUCAAAAAUUAUAGAAAAAUAAAAAUAAAAUAGUUCAAGCUCUUAUUAGGUAUUUAAAUAGAAAUUCUAAAAAACUUUAUUUAAAUGUACAUAGAUAAAAAUUCUCAGUGUGCAUCAUUAAUUUUUAUUUUCUAUGUUUUGCCAACUUAAUUUAUUAUUUUACUUUUGCUGUGAAAAAAAAUAUUAUAAGAUCGCCAACUUUUAAAUGUAUAUAUUACUUAUUAACAAAUUAACAUAUAAUUGUUCUAUUUUACUGAGCAAUCAACAUUCAUGAAAUAAAAUGUCAUGAAAAAUUUUCUGAAAAUUCCAAACAAAAUGUGUUCUCCAGUUUUCUGUUUUGAGAAAUAGUUUUUUCAAAAUGAUAAACCAUAUGCUUUUCAGCAAUCUUAAAAUGGACCCUCAAAAUAGAAAACUGAAAAUAAACUCUAAAUUGAAAUGAAAACCAAACGGCCCCUAAGCUUCCAAAAAAUCCGCAAACCAAGCAAAACUGCCAAAAAAAUAUUGCUGGGAAAAGCAUACCACAUAAGAAAUAAUGGAAGUGGAUGAUAGAGGAAGUGUCCUUUAUGAUACAGNN